AGGUCCAGAUGGCCGGUGACUUUAGUGAAAUCCUCUCCAGUCAAAAACACCAGUGAGUGGUUAUACAAUGAGUUGACGACAAAGUUGGGAAAGCAUUGAAGAAAUUUGUAGAGAAGGAAGCAAAGGUGAGAGAGAAAGAUGAUUGCAAUGGAAAGGAAGGUGUCUGGCAAAGGAGGGACCAAUUCUUCAUAUUAUUUGUCUUUCAGGCUCCCAAACCAGUUUGCAUAUUGAGCUUCCCAGAACUAUUUUCAACCACCUGGAGCAGCUGAGCAUGAAGAACACCAUUCUCGAUGUCUUUAGCUACAAAUUGCUAACCGCCCCAAACCACCAACAUCCCAAGAAGUCAGUAAGGACAAGAAUAUCCUGUUGUGAGGACUGGUGGAACUGGACUUUGCUGGGGACCAACUCGCUAACCCAUCAAUGAAGUACGAGUCUAGUCUUUUGCCUGAUGACUGAAUCUCAAGCCCGUCUAUGAAGGGCAAACCCAGCCUCACCUCAUCCAGCACCAAUGAACUCUUCCUUAAUACAACUCACCUCCUCCUCCCCCUUUCCCAUAAAAACCAUAAGCCCCUCUCCUGUAAUCGGGACACUAUUUGAGCUUCUAGCUGAAUCUGUGUCUCUUGAAUUGCAAUUCUAAUUCCUCACAGAAAUUUCUGUUGUUUGAAUUGUAGUGGAUUUUUCCUCUGUCGACACUUUCUGGCUGUGUGACAUGGGCAACUCAAUUAACCUCUCUG
rnacentral:lncRNA from 1 species